AGAGUUUGAUCAUGGCUCAGAAUCAACGCUGGCGGCGGCCUAACACAUGCAAGUCGAACGAGAAAGCAGGAGCAAUCUUGUGAGUAAAGUGGCGUACGGGUGAGUAACACGUGGAUCAUCUACCCUCUUGUGGGGGAUAACCCUGGGAAACCGGGGCUAAUACCGCAUAAGUCCGAGAGGAGAAAGCAGCAAUGCGCAGGAGGAGGAGUCCGCGGCCGAUUAGCUAGUUGGUAGGGUAAAAGCCUACCAAGGCAACGAUCGGUAGCCGGCCUGAGAGGGCACACGGCCACACUGGCACUGAAACACGGGCCAGACUCCUACGGGAGGCAGCAGUGGGGAAUCUUGCACAAUGGGGGCAACCCUGAUGCAGCGACGCCGCGUGAGCGAUGAAGCCCUUCGGGGUGUAAAGCUCUUUCGGCAGGGAAGAUUAUGACGGUACCUGCAGAAGCAGCUGCGGCUAACUACGUGCCAGCAGCCGCGGUAAUACGUAGGCAGCAAGCGUUGUUCGGAGUUACUGGGCGUAAAGGGUGUGUAGGCGGUCUUAUAAGUUUGGUGUGAAAUCUCCCGGCUCAACUGGGAGGGUGCGCCGAAAACUGGGAGGCUAGAGUGCGGGAUGGGAGAGUGGAAUUCCUGGUGUAGCGGUGAAAUGCGUAGAUAUCAGGAGGAACACCUGUGGUGUAGACGGCUCUCUGGACCGCAACUGACGCUGAGACACGAAAGCGUGGGUAGCAAACAGGAUUAGAUACCCUAGUAGUCC
rnacentral:rRNA from 1 species